GAAGGAAGUGAGAAGACGAAGGAAGUGCGAAGACGAAGGAAGUGCGAAGACGAAGGGGGUGCGAAGACGAAGGGGGAGUGAGUCGUGAGUUCUCUCGGGCUUCUUUCCGACAGUGGCGGAGGCAGUAGUCAAGCGUGGAGGUUGGUGAACUCGUAGGCGAUUCACCGCGGUGAGAAAGUGAGGACGGUUCGUCGCGAUGAGAAGACGAAGGCGGUUCGUCGCGGCGGGAAUACGAAGGCGACUUGGUUCUCCGGUCUCCUUCUCCGAUUAUCUUCUCCGUCAACGGUAACAGCGGCAAUGGCGAGGAUCCUUGAAACCAGGAGCUGCUCUUUUCAAAUGGUGGACAUGAGCAUCCAACGUCUUAAAAGCAAUGCUUUCAUGACUUGAUGCUAUUGUCAUUUCAUUGAGGAGCCUAUCUGCAUCUUCAAAGAAGAGAGUUAACACUUCAACCAUAAAAUCUGGGCUGCUUUCAUCUUGGAGUUGCUGGAGCUGGUUAAACUGUUCAUCCAGAAACCCUCUCAUGAUUAGAGAGGCAGUAUAAUCAACAUGUUGUCUCUGUUGGGGAAUCAUAGCAUUAACAUCCAUUGUUUGUCUCAUUUUUUCAACAUUCACUGAAGAUCUUAGGCAUUCAUUUCUUCUUCUAAUACUUGGAUUGUAUAUAGUUAGUUUUGUUCUCUACUCACGACUAUUAGUUUCUGGAUAGAGAUUUGGGCAAUAUCAAAAAUCUGUGGGAACCUUAAUAUCCUUGUAUCUAAGACUCAAAUAUAUGGUGCUUUAUUGUUGUGUUCUUUAUGUUUUAUAAACAUGGAAACAAUAUUCAAGGUU